rnacentral:tRNA from 1 species
GUUUUAUUUGUUUAAUGGUAAAACGGGAUACUCUUAAUAUCCAGAUUAAAGUUCGAUUCUUUAAUGAGACU